AGCAGAGUAGACGCUCGAGCGUAUAGUGCCUUCCGAACGGGGAGUUUGUCGGAGGGACGAAACCUUUUUCAGGUGCGGUUCGGUCGUCGCAUCCCGCUGCA
rnacentral:ncRNA from 2 species